CCAAUAGCGUAUAUUAAAGUUGUUGCAGUUAAAAAGCUCGUAGUUGAACUUCGGGGUCUACCCAUUGGUCAGGCUUAAUUGUCUGCACUGGUGAGAUGGAUCUCUACCUUCUGAGGAACUUUCAUGCCAUUUAUUUGGUGUGGUUGGAAAUCAGGACUGUUACUUUGAAAAAAUUAGAGUGUUUAAAGCAGACUAUCGUCUGAAUACAUUAGCAUGGAAU
rnacentral:rRNA from 1 species